rnacentral:rRNA from 1 species
UACGUAGGGCGCAAGCGUUGUCCGGAAUUAUUGGGCGUAAAGAGCUCGUAGGCGGUCUGUCACGUCGGAUGUGAAAGCCCGGGGCUUAACCCCGGGUCUGCAUUCGAUACGGGCAGACUAGAGUGUGGUAGGGGAGAUCGGAAUUCCUGGUGUAGCGGUGAAAUGCGCAGAUAUCAGGAGGAACACCGGUGGCGAAGGCGGAUCUCUGGGCCAUUACUGACGCUGAGGCACGAAAGCCAGGGGAGCAAACGGG